GUUAAUUAUUAAACAUGUAACGUUUUUAUUAUUUUUUAACUGUUAAAUUUAAUUAGGUAUUGGCUAUCUAUAUAUCUGUAUAAAUUUAUAAAUUUUCAUGUCCUUAAGCUGAUGUGGCCCAACCCCUUUAAGGCUUAGUUUGGUAUUUAGGUCCAUCUAAUGCUAUCUAUCUAUUACUAUAUACUAAAGUAGAACCCCUAAUGAACCCUAUGUGAGAAGCUGACACGUGGCGCUCUAUAUGCUUGCCACGUGUCAAGCUUAAAUAUAGAUUUUCUACUUUAGAAAAAAUAAAAUUAGACUUUUUAAGUAAAUAAUAUCUUUUACUAUAUAAAAAAUCACCUAUAAUGAAAGAAAUUUUAUUUAAAAGUCACCUAUAAUUAUGUUGUGCGGAUAUUACUACUUUAGGAAAUCUAUUCUAUUUGGUAAGUGGAUUAAUGAAAUAUUUGAAAAAUUCACGGAUAUUACGUUGCGAAAAAAUUGGCGUGUACGGAUACUACGCAUGAGAAGAAAAAUAUUUAUCUUUAUUUGAGAAUAAAUUAUUACUUAAUUAAUUAUUUGAAAUUAUUGGUUGAAAAGUAGUGGGCAUAAAAAUAUUAGUAAGAAAGGAUAGAAACAUUUUUUCUAACGUGGCUUUCUAUAUGAUUUCCACAUGUCAUCGUAUCUAUUCUAUUUACUAUAUUAUUAAAUUUAAAUGGUAUGUAGAUUAAUGAGAUAUUUGAAAAAUUCACGGAUAUUACGUUGCGAAAAAAUUGGCGGUAUUACGCGUAAGAAGAAAAAUAUUUGAGAAACGCGUAGAUAGAAAAUAGGAUAUAAAUACGAGGAUAAUAUUGUCACAAAAAAAUAUAUAUUUUUAUUUUCAAUCAUUAGAUAAGAUCUAAUGACAAAAAAUUAAUAUCUUUUACUAUAUUAUUAAAAAUCACCUAUAAUGAAAGAGAUUUUAUUUCAAAGUCACCUAUAAUUAUGUUGAUGGGAUAUUUGAGAAAUUCACGGAUAUUACGUUGCGAAAGAAUUGGUGAGUGCAGAUAUUACGCGUAAGAAGAAAAAUAUUUAUCUUUAUUUGGGAAUAAAUUACUACUUAGUUAAUUAUUUGAAAUGAUUGGUUGAAAAUUUCUGGACAUAAAAAUAUUAGUAAAAAAAGGAUAGAGACAAUUUUAUAAAGAGAAAAAAAAUUCAAAACUCACGCUUUUAUAAAAAAUUAAUAUCUUUUACUACAUUAUUAAAAAUUACCUACAAUGAAGGAAAUUUUAUUUUAAAGUCACCUAUAAUUAUGUUGAGAUAUUUGAGAAAUUUACGGAUAUUAAGUUGCGAAAGAAUUGGCGGGUGCGGAUAUUACGCAUGAGAAGAAAAAUAUUUAUCUUUAUUUAGGAAUAAAUUAUUACUUAGUUAAUUAUUUGAAAUGAUUGGUUGAAAAUUUCUGGACAUAAAAAUAUUAGUAAAAAAGGAUAGAGGCAUUUUUGGAAAGAGGAAAAAAUUUAAAACUCACGUCACUCCUGUAAUUUUCUUAGCUCUUAAAUGUUAAUGUUUUAAAAUAGAACAUAUUAUUUCCCUACUGUCACUUCUGUAAUUUUCAUUUCGUAAUUUUUUUUUCCCUACUGUCACUCCUGUAACUUUCCAUCUUCAUGCAACAAAAUUUUUUUUCUUUAUAUUAUCUUAAAUACCAACAUCUAUAUAUUUUUGAAUCUUAAAAGUGAUAGUAGAGAAAUAAUAUACGUGUGCUUACUCUAAUUUGUGUCAAAUAUGAAAGUUUAGUUAAUCUCAUUAUAUACUUAAAUAUUAAUGUCAUUUGUAAUUUUUCAUAUCAAUUUUAGUUAUCAUUUUAUUUUGCACACCAAUAUGUAAACGAAAAUUAUUUUGCACACCAAUUCAUAGAUAACAGAGCAGGAUUGAAUUUUGCAUUUUAGUUGGAUAUUUACUUUGGUCCAAUUUUUUUUUUUCUCUAGCUUGUGUAUUUUAAUAUGUACUAUAAUUAAGAUUGAUAGUAUAUUUUUUAUUUAUUAAAAAAAUAAAAUUAAUUAAAAAAUCUUUUUAUUAUCAUCACAUAAUAAUUUUUAUUAUUCUAUAUUAUUAUAUUAGCCGUGCAUCGCACGGGUAAAAAUCUAGUUAGAUAAAAUGGAGGUAGGAAAAAGCAUAUAGGGAUAUGCUUCUGCGUUUUUCAGUGGGAACGUAGAAAAUAUAUCAUAACCGACUCAUCAUAAUAUGCGGAAUGCAAUAUUAUGUACGGAAACAAACAGGGUAUUUUCUCAUCGUACUUUCUCACCACACGUAACGCAAUCUCUCCG
rnacentral:lncRNA from 1 species